ACACGACUACAUUAGAUACCCUCGUAGUCCUAGCGUAACGAUACUCGCUAGGUGUCGGCCACGGUGCGACCGUUGUCGGUGCCGUAGGGAAGCCGUGAAGCGAGCCACCUGGGAAGUACGGCCGCAAGGCUGAAACUUAAAGGAAUUGGCGGGGGAGCACAACAACGGGUGGAGCUUGCGGUUUAAUUGGAUUCAACGCCGGAAAUCUUACCGGGACCGACAGCAACAUGAAGGCCAAGCUGAAGACUUUGCCGGAUUAGCUG
rnacentral:rRNA from 1 species